GAUCAUGGCUCAGGAUGAACGCUAGCGGCAGGCUAACACAUGCAAGUCGAGGGGCAUCGGGAGUAGCAAUACUUGCCGGCGACCGGCGCAAGGGUGCGUAACGCGUGAGCAACAUGCCCGUAUCAGGGGGAUAAUCCAUGGAAACGUGGUCUAAUACCCCAUAGUAAUUAUGUAAGGCAUCUUAUAUAAUUUAAAGCUUUGGUGGAUACGGAUUGGCUCGCGUGACAUUAGCUGGAUGGUAAGGUAACGGCUUACCAUGGCUACGAUGUCUAGGGGUUCUGAGAGGAAGGUCCCCCACACUGGAACUGAGACACGGUCCAGACUCCUACGGGAGGCAGCAGUGAGGAAUAUUGGACAAUGGAUGGAAAUCUGAUCCAGCCAUGCCGCGUGCAGGAAGACGGCCCUAUGGGUUGUAAACUGCUUUUGUAUGGGAGCAAUAAGGGCUACGUGUAGUCCGAUGAGAGUACCAUACGAAUAAGCACCGGCUAACUCCGUGCCAGCCGCCGC
rnacentral:rRNA from 1 species